rnacentral:rRNA from 1 species
UACGUAGGGGCUAGCGUUAUCCGGAAUUACUGGGCGUAAAGGGUGCGUAGGUGGUUUCUUAAGUCAGAGGUGAAAGGCUACGGCUCAACCGUAGUAAGCCUUUGAAACUGGGAAACUUGAGUGCAGGAGAGGAGAGUGGAAUUCCUAGUGUAGCGGUGAAAUGCGUAGAGAUUAGGAAGAACACCAGUGGCGAAGGCGAUUCUCUGGACUGUAACUGACGCUGAGGCUCGAAAGCGUGGGGAGCAAACAGGAUUAGAUACCCGCGUAGUCCCUGAG